GGAGGAUUCAAGCGUUAUCCGGAUUUAUUGGGUGUAAAGGGCGUGUAGGCGGGGACGCAAGUCAGAUGUGAAAACCACGGGCUCAACCUGUGGCCUGCAUUUGAAACUGUGUUUCUUGAGUACUGGAGAGGCAGACGGAAUUCCUAGUGUAGCGGUGAAAUGCGUAGAUAUUAGGAGGAACACCAGUGGCGAAGGCGGUCUGCUGGACAGCAACUGACGCUGAGGCGCGAAAGCGUGGGGAGCAAA
rnacentral:rRNA from 1 species